GUGAGCUCAGCUGCUUGGCCAGCACGUGGAGAAGCUCCACUCCUCAUCACGCAGCUUGGCUGGGCUCUGCUGGGGAGAUGUGAAGCCUGUUGUGUUGGAGAAUAGAGAUGGAGGGAUGGCAGGAGGUGCUGAGCAGGGCUGCUGCUUGUCUUGUGCUCGUAGAGGCUUUGUGUUGGUGGUACAGGAGAGCUGAAGGGCCUGCCCUGACAUGGGGAUGCACAUCCCAGUGCUGGAGGAUCCUUCCCUGUGCCUGUAACCCUGUUUCCUUGGUAGCUUCUGCUUUGGCAGGAAGAGUUUUAACCCGUGGUGCUGUCAGCUGUGGUGGGGCAGUGCUUGGCUUUAGCUCCUGCUGCUGCGUUGUCAGUUCUGGCGGAGUCUGUGCUCUGCACAGUGAAAUACCUGAGAGCUUUUGAUGUGGAUUUGUGGGAAUUCUGCUUUCACAGGCCCAGGGCUCAGCCCGCAGUGCAGAUCAGGUGUGAGCUCUUCCUGCAAGCCAGAGCAGCUCUGACAAUUCCAGAGAUUUGGAGGGACCCUUCUGGCUGUCUCUGGGUUUCCAGGCUUUUGGGUGACUGACUGGGACAGAGGCAGUUCCUUUGUGAUAGGAACCCUUGGCAGGAAGUUUCCAACCUUGCUUCUUUCCCUGCUCUUACUUAAGCAAUGAGGUGUAACUAACCCACAGGACUGUUGUUUUUCUUGACUGAGAAGUAUCCCAAUUAUUCCCUUUUCCCCCUAAGUGCUCUCUGAGCAGCCUCUUUGCACUUGGCAGUGCUCUGGGCUGUCACGGCUGGUGGACACCCUUUGGGAAUGACAGUGGGAGAGUUAUGUGCCAGCAGAGACCUGUGUAGAGACUCAAUGACUCCUGUUUAAAUGGUGUUUAUCUGUCACUGGUCUCUUGAUUUGUGUCUUCCAUACUGUCAGGUAGGAUGUGCUGUGUAAAAUGCUUUUAGAGUUUGAAAGCUUUAGCCAGCCAGCCUGCUUUUAGGGGUAGAAAAGGAGCAGCCCACAACCCGGUGUUGCUGCUGCCGUGCUGAUUUCUUCACAGGAGGAAAAGGGGAGGAUGAUGCCUCGAGUUCAGAGGAACCAGACCCUGUAGAACCUGCGUUUUCCCUCCCAUGCAGUCCUGUCUCUCUCUUGGGUCACUGACUUUGCUUUCCUGGCAGUGGCACCCUGCUGUCAAUGUUUAACCCUGUUGCUCACAUGCCUGUGUUUUGGGGGGGGUGCUUCCAGUAUCAAGCAGGGAAUGUCCUAUCCCUGUCCCGGCACCCAGAUGGUUUGAGCCUGGAGUGAGGUUUAAGCCCGGCUACAGCGACAGCCUCCAGCCUGCGCACAGCCACCCUUGGCUGGAUAACGAGGUGUGACCGGUGACAAACGGGGCUGGGACGUUCCUGCUCCAUCAGGCUCUGGGGAGAGGGGGCUGAGCCUCGCCCGCCCCGCUGCUUCCCUCGUGUGUAAAUACUUGUACAAAGAACUAACCAAUAAAGAGCUCACGGAA
rnacentral:lncRNA from 1 species